AAUGAACGUUGGCGGCGUGGAUUAGGCAUGCAAGUCGAGCGAGAACCCAGCAAUGGGGGACAGCGGCGAAAGGGACAGUAAUGUGUAGAUCAUCUGCCCUCAGGCCCGGGAUAGCUGCGGGAAACUGCAGGUAAUACCGGAUAAUAUCUCCGGAUCAAAGGUGUGAUUCCGCCUGGGGAUGAGUCUACAUCCUAUUAGCUUGUUGGUGGGGUAAUGGCCUACCAAGGCGAUGAUGGGUAGCGGGUGUGAGAGCACGACCCGCGUCAUUGGGACUGAGACACUGCCCAGACACCUACGGGUGGCUGCAGUCGAGAAUCUUCGGCAAUGGGCGCAAGCCUGACCGAGCGACGCCGCGUGCGGGAUGAAGGCCUCGGUU
rnacentral:rRNA from 1 species